AUCCUAGAGUGGAAAUAAAAGAGUUGUGGGAUCCACCUAAAUACUGCAACUAGACAAGCAGGACAGGAGCAUCGCAGCAACCACUGCUGCGUCAACGAGGGACGGUACUUUUCCUGGCCGUGACCACCACCUGCCUCGAUCUGCUUUGCUCUUUCUCUAAACUGUUUCCAAUCUGCCCUCUCGGAUUGUUUGGCCUCAGCUAGACAGGAGGGUGAAGAAGAGAACUGUCUGCAAGCUCCCACUCUGGUCCCUCAAAGCGAGUGCCUGGUACACACUGGAGGAAGCUCCACAAGUGCUUAUUGAAUUAACGAGAGCAAGAACAAGCCGGUUUCACAAGCCGGUUUCCUUUUCUAAGAUUAUCUCGAAACAGCAAAACAAAACAAACAAUUCAACUCCUUUCCAAUCAUGGAAAAGUAGAGGUUUAUAGCAACUCUCGUCCACAACUGGUCUGGGCUCAUGAAGACAGUGUGACGACAAACUGGAAAGGAAACUGUACCUGCUAACACAGUGGUCCCAGCAGAGCAACUCUGGAACACAGACAGACAAAUGAAAAACUGUAUAAACCAUAAAGUAACCUGCUGAAAAUUAAAGGCCCAACUGUCAAGGUUGUUUUGAACUCCACAGAACACGAUGGUAGACUCACACUGCUCUUUUGGAGCAGCUGAUUUCAAAUGCCAGGUUUUCAAAGAGAACUCUUCAGAAUUCCAGCAUUAGGGUAACCAUAGUGCCCAAACAUGGCACUUACCUUCUGA